GGAUCCCUCGCGGGUGCA
rnacentral:sRNA from 1 species